GAUGAAGAACGCAGCGAAAUGCGAUAAGUAAUGUGAAUUGCAGAAUUCAGUGAAUCAUCGAAUCUUCGAACGCACAUUGCGCCCGCCACUAUUCUGGCGGGCAUGCCUGUUCGAGCGUCAUUUAAACCUUCAAGCUAAGCUUGGUGUUGGGUGACUGUCCGCUUCACGGCGGACUCGCCUCAAAAUUAUUGGCGGCCGGUACAUUGGCUUCGAGCGCAGCAGAAACGCGAACUCGGGCCCGUCGUAUUGGCUCCCAGAAGCUAUCUUCACAAUUUUGACCUCGGAUCAGGUAGGGAUACCCGCUGAACUUAAGCAUAUCAAUAAGCGGAGGA
rnacentral:misc_RNA from 1 species